GACGAACGCUGGCGGCGUGCUUAACACAUGCAAGUCGAGCGAGUGGAUUCCCUUCGGGGAUGAAGCUAGCGGCGGACGGGUGAGUAACACGUGGGCAACCUGCCUUAUAGAGGGGGAUAGCCUUCCGAAAGGAAGAUUAAUACCGCAUAACAUCAGAUUAUCGCAUGGUAGACUGAUCAAAGGAGCAAUCCGCUAUAAGAUGGGCCCGCGUCGCAUUAGCUAGUUGGUGAGGUAACGGCUCACCAAGGCGACGAUGCGUAGCCGACCUGAGAGGGUGAUCGGCCACAUUGGGACUGAGACACGGACCAGACUCCUGCGGGAGGCAGCAGUGGGGAAUAUUGCACAAUGGGGGAAACCCUGAUGCAGCAACGCCGCGUGAGUGAUGAAGGCCUUCGGGUUGUAAAGCUCUUUGAUCAGGGACGAUAAUGACGGUACCUGAAGAACAAGCCACGGCUAACUACGUGCCAGCAGCCGCCGUAAGAC
rnacentral:rRNA from 1 species